ACGAGUUAGGGUCCUCUAGGCCCGACCUCCCAACCUUUGCUUACCGAACCUCUGUUGCUUCGGCGGGCCCGUCUCACGACCGCCGGAGGACCGCCGCAGGGCGUGUCCUCUAGCCCGUGUCCGCCGAUAGCCAACUACAAAACUCUGUAUAAAUCAUGUCUCAUGUCUAAGUCAAAUUGAAUUAAAAGCA
rnacentral:misc_RNA from 1 species